UACGUAGGGUGCAAGCGUUGUCCGGAAUUAUUGGGCGUAAAGAGCUCGUAGGCGGUCUGUCGCGUCUGCUGUGAAAACUCGGGGCUUAACCCCGGGCCUGCAGUGGGUACGGGCAGACUAGAGUGCGGUAGGGGAGACUGGAAUUCCUGGUGUAGCGGUGAAAUGCGCAGAGAUCGGGAAGAACACCAGUGGCGAAAGCGCUCUACUA
rnacentral:rRNA from 1 species